AGUUGCCAGCAUUCAGUUGGGCACGUCUAAGGUGACUGCCGGCUAAAAGUCGGAGGAAGGUGGGGAGUGACGUCAAAUCAUCAUGCCCCUUAUGACCUGGGCUACACACGUGCUACAAUGGGCGGUACAAAGGGUCGCGAACCCGCGAGGGGGAGCCAAUCCCAAAAAGCCGCUCUCAGUUCGGAUUGCAGGCUGCAACUCGCCUGCAUGAAGCCGGAAUCGCUAGUAAUCGCGGAUCAGCAUGCCGCGGUGAAUACGUUCCCGGGCCUU
rnacentral:rRNA from 1 species